UGGUGAGUAACGCGUGAGGAACCUGCCUUCCANAGGGGGACAACAGUUGGAAACGACUGCUAAUACCGCAUGAUACGUUGGAGCCGCAUGACUCCGACGUCAAAGAUUUAUCGCUGGAAGAUGGCCUCGCGUCUGAUUAGCUAGUUGGUGAGGUAACGGCCCACCAAGGCGACGAUCAGUAGCCGGACUGAGAGGUUGGCCGGCCACAUUGGGACUGAGAUACGGCCCAGACUCCUACGGAAGGCAGCAG
rnacentral:rRNA from 1 species